rnacentral:rRNA from 1 species
AAAUUGAAGAGUUUGAUCAUGGCUCAGAUUGAACGCUGGCGGCAGGCCUAACACAUGCAAGUCGAACGGUAACAGGAAGCAGCUUGCUGCUUUGCUGACGAGUGGCGGACGGGUGAGUAAUGUCUGGGAAACUGCCUGAUGGAGGGGGAUAACUACUGGAAACGGUGGCUAAUACCGCAUAACGUCGCAAGACCAAAGAGGGGGACCUUCGGGCCUCUUGCCAUCAGAUGUGCCCAGAUGGGAUUAGCUUGUUGGUGAGGUAACGGCUCACCAAGGCGACGAUCCCUAGCUGGUCUGAGAGGAUGACCAGCCACACUGGAACUGAGACACGGUCCAGACUCCUACGGGAGGCAGCAGUGGGGAAUAUUGCACAAUGGGCGCAAGCCUGAUGCAGCCAUGCCGCGUGUAUGAAGAAGGCCUUCGGGUUGUAAAGUACUUUCAGCGGGGAGGAAGGUGUUGUGGUUAAUAACCGCAGCAAUUGACGUUACCCGCAGAAGAAGCACCGGCUAACUCCGUGCCAGCAGCCGCGGUAAUACGGAGGGUGCAAGCGUUAAUCGGAAUUACUGGGCGUAAAGCGCACGCAGGCGGUCUGUCAAGUCGGAUGUGAAAUCCCCGGGCUCAACCUGGGAACUGCAUUCGAAACUGGCAGGCUUGAGUCUUGUAGAGGGGGGUAGAAUUCCAGGUGUAGCGGUGAAAUGCGUAGAGAUCUGGAGGAAUACCGGUGGCGAAGGCGGCCCCCUGGACAAAGACUGACGCUCAGGUGCGAAAGCGUGGGGAGCAAACAGGAUUAGAUACCCUGGUAGUCCAUGCCGUAAACGAUGUCUACUUGGAGGUUGUGCCCUUGAGGCGUGGCUUCCGGAGCUAACGCGUUAAGUAGACCGCCUGGGGAGUACGGCCGCAAGGUUAAAACUCAAAUGAAUUGACGGGGGCCCGCACAAGCGGUGGAGCAUGUGGUUUAAUUCGAUGCAACGCGAAGAACCUUACCUGGUCUUGACAUCCACAGAACUUUCCAGAGAUGGAUUGGUGCCUUCGGGAACUGUGAGACAGGUGCUGCAUGGCUGUCGUCAGCUCGUGUUGUGAAAUGUUGGGUUAAGUCCCGCAACGAGCGCAACCCUUAUCCUUUGUUGCCAGCGGUCCGGCCGGGAACUCAAAGGAGACUGCCAGUGAUAAACUGGAGGAAGGUGGGGAUGACGUCAAGUCAUCAUGGCCCUUACGACCAGGGCUACACACGUGCUACAAUGGCGCAUACAAAGAGAAGCGACCUCGCGAGAGCAAGCGGACCUCAUAAAGUGCGUCGUAGUCCGGAUUGGAGUCUGCAACUCGACUCCAUGAAGUCGGAAUCGCUAGUAAUCGUGGAUCAGAAUGCCACGGUGAAUACGUUCCCGGGCCUUGUACACACCGCCCGUCACACCAUGGGAGUGGGUUGCAAAAGAAGUAGGUAGCUUAACCUUCGGGAGGGCGCUUACCACUUUGUGAUUCAUGACUGGGGUGAAGUCGUAACAAGGUAACCGUAGGGGAACCUGCGGUUGGAUCACCUCCUUA